UUUCAAAACCCUAACGAACAACUGAUUCCGGUUGAUUUCAAAACCCUAAUUUUAUAUAUAUAUAUAUAUAUAUCCAACCGUUCUGAUUUCAAAACCCUAAUGAUACUAAUUGUUCAAUCAAUCAAUUAUUUAUAUUUUAUUAUUAAAGAAACUGCUGAAUAUUAAUCAUCAGAGUCGAAUAGCAAAUCGAAGGAUUUAUGGAUCUACAUUGCCGUACACCAGUUGUUACGAGAGUAUUUGUUUAUAGGAGACCAUCAGAUAAUUUACAAGCAUGCAAAAACGCCCAGGUUAAAGAUGGAGCUCUCUCUGAUUAUGUGAAUGAAUAACAUUACGAAUGAAUAAGAGGAAAAAAAGUUAUUUACAAAAUGAAUGUGACAGCGAGAACCAAAGCUAAAACCAUUGAUGCCACCACCCUCUCACCAGAAUUAGCCUUUUGAUCCGCUGCAUCAUCAUCAUGAUAGUCAUCCAAAGAGUCCGGCCCAGGUGCUUCCGCUUCCACGCUAUCCCCCUUCUUCGUCGCCUUCUUUUUCAUUUUUGCGGCCUUAGGUGUUGGCGCUGGCUCAUCCGCCUCCACCACUGCACCCUUAAACAACUCACGUGGCAUCAAAACCUUAUCAAUCUUAUAAACCGCAACAGGUUCAUCAUCAACAACUGUACCUAUAUAUUCCAUUUAAGUAAACAUGCAUAAUGGUUUAGUUAAUCAAUUAAGUUUAUGAAAGUCCAUUUUUAAUUAAAAACAUCUUAAAAUAUAGUAUACGUUAGACAUUUUAUAUGAGACAGAAAGAAAACAAAAUAGUACCUGUAAUUGUUGCAGUCACCACUUUAGUCUUCAACUUCACAUCAUUACCAUCAUUUUGCACGGUGAAAUCGUACUUAUUUUUGCCUUCCGUAGCCAACGUGUUCAUCAACCCAUUACUUGAUCUCAGCAUCCCCAUUGAAUUAUAAACCGGAACACCAUGGUAUAAUAACAGAGACGUUUUUUGGUCUGCCGUUAAGUUUUUAUAUUUUGGUGCAAAGGCAGUAAUGGCAUCAUCACUUGGACAAAACACAGUUACUCCCCCGUCAACUGUACUUAAAAAUGUACCUAUGGCUCCAGAUGUUGAUAAUAAAUCGUAAAACGAUUUGCAUCCGUCUCUUUGUAGUAAUGAUGUUAAGUUUAGGUCUGGUGCUGAAGUUGGUGCUUCGGCUUCUGGCGAGUUUAGAAUUGAACUUAUUUGGAUUACAGAGAUGUUGUAUGGCAUUUCUAAGAUGGAUUUGACAAAAACGACGUCGGUUUGGGAUGGAUUGUCUUCUGGAGUGAAUUGAACUUUACCACCUGGGCUUCACCAGUGGCUUGAUACAUGGUGGCAGUGGAGGUUGACCCUUUAGUGACUUGAUGAAGCUUUUUUGAUCCAAAAUAGU